rnacentral:tmRNA from 1 species
GGGGGCGCACAGGCUUCGACGGGAGUGGACAGCGUCCGAUGAGACGAGCCGAGUUUGCUGGAGACUCGUAAAACGCCGGCAGUCUAUAAGACAUGCCAACGAUAACGAAAUGGCUAUGGCCGCUUAAAUAAAAGCAGCCCAUCGGCCCGGGAAGCCCACGUCCCGGCCAACCGGUGUCAUCAAGUGGGAUCACCCUU